rnacentral:rRNA from 1 species
AGAAUCAACGCUGGCGGCGUGCCUAACACAUGCAAGUCGAACGAGAAAGUGGAGCAAUCCAUGAGUAAAGUGGCGCACGGGUGAGUAACACGUGACUAACCUACCCUUGAGUGGGGGAUAACCUAGGGAAACCUGGGCUAAUACCGCAUAAUACCUUCGGGUCAAAGGAGCAAUUCGCUUAAGGAGGGGUCGCGGCCGAUUAGUUAGUUGGCGGGGUAAUGGCCCACCAAGACGAUGAUCUGUA